UACGUAGGGUGCGAGCGUUGUCCGGAAUUAUUGGGCGUAAAGGGCUCGUAGGCGGUUUGUCGCGUCGGGAGUGAAAACACCGGGCUUAACUCGGUGCUGGCUUUCGAUACGGGCAGACUAGAGGUAUUCAGGGGAGAACGGAAUUCCUGGUGUAGCGGUGAAAUGCGCAGAUAUCAGGAGGAACACCGGUGGCGAAGGCGGUUCUCUGGGAAUGUCCUGACGCUGAGGAGCGAAAGUGUGGGGAGCGAACAGG
rnacentral:rRNA from 1 species